UAUAAAAUGUUACUAAUCCGGUCACUAAUUGCAUAACACCAGAUUUAUUGCAAUAACAGACACACUUAACAUUUCCAAUCACUUAUUGCAUAAAUGAAUCACAUACUAAUCACUUAUUGCAUAAACAGCAGUUUUAUUGCAGUAACAGACAACAUAAAAAAACACAGUUAACAGACACAACCCGUAGAAUCAAUGAACUUUUUUUUUAAGUUUAUAAAGUCACACAAAACCUAUCCAUGUAUUUUUAAAAAGUCAAAGUUCUAACAUGCUCUGUAUUUCAUGCUGUCAAUAUGAGAUGCAUACUAAUGUUGUGUGUUAUUAUUGCAGCUGAGAAGAUGGCCAAGAUAUCCUUAUUGCUGGAUGGUAGCUCUCUGGUCGUAGUGGACCAUGUCUGCAAAUGCUUCUGAACAUUGACAUAAUUUCUAAAGGAUUGUUGAGGACUCCCCCUCCAUGCGUGACAUCUUUGAGAAAUAGCCACGCUUUCUGGAUAUGCCAAGUUUUACUGGAACCAACUUUGCAUCCCUCGGCACUGACACUGAGAAGGUUUCAAGGGCCCCACUACUAGGAGGCCUGAAGAGUUUGACACGGCAGUGUCAUCACUGCCAGGGAUGACAACGUAACCAUUCCUGUUGCUGAUUGCCUGACGUGCGCAAUGACAAGCUUUUCAUGCUCUACUGGGUGUGUAACUUGGCAUAUCUACCACAGUUUAACUCUGUUUUUGCCUCUUUUGAAUAUGUGUACGAUAUAACCAUCUCAACCAACAAGUGGGCCAAGGUACUGGAACAUUUCUCACUUCAAGUUGCUCAGUAGUCACUGGACAUUUUUUUAAAACAUCUAUGCAGACACCACCCCUCCACAACAUACCAUGUGUAUUUUAAUUACUUCUGAUUCCACUGACAUGCAGACUACAUCCUAUGCAAAUUCAGGUAAUUUACCUGGUACUGGAGAAACAGCAUUGUAUGCCAUUCUAAGUGAUAGUUGCCUCCUUGUUUUGCAAAAAUGUACUGUUCUUUGAAUAUAACUUAAAGUAAGAUCAGCUGGACUCUGAGGUUGUCUCCGGUUGUCAAGCACAACCUUAACGUUUUGUAAGUAAGUAAUAGUCACAGGAUAUGCAUGCAUUUGUAAUUUGAAUUUUCGUUGAAAACGGCUCACCAAGCAUAAAAUGUUACCUCUGCUUUUGAUUUUUAAAAAAAAAAAAUGUCCCUUAAUACCAGCCUGUCUUUUUGUUGUGUCCACACAACUUUACUAUCAUCAGUGUUGGGAAGGAACAGAUUGCUGUAAGCAGAUUUUGAGUUACUGUAUCCCCAUCCUUUCAGAUCAGUGCUU